GCCUGGCUAGCGGCGAAUAAGGACAGGGAAGUCUUAGUCCCAAGAGAUAAAAUCCGGGUCAAGAAAAAAGAAAAAAAGAAAAAAAAGCACGAUUGUUUGAAUUAAUGAAAAGCCGACCAGAUUAGUUUUUAGGUGGGAAGGGCCUCAUGCUUACAAAACGGUGAGAGAUGGAAAAAAAAUUAACUCGGGAGUCAGCUGAAAUGCCUGCUCAACUCUAUGUAUAAAGUUCGAGUAAUACUUUUUAGUGGGUGUUGUACAACUCCACAUGGCAUGGAUGUACAUGGAGUUGACUGCUGGUUAUUUACAUGAAUUCAUGUGUCUACAAAGGGGUUUGGCGUAUGUAUGCAAUCAUUGCAAAUCCUCUAAGUUAACUAUUUGCCAACGGAUCUGGUUGGCACAAACAUCAUUUAUUAUGCAGAAGAGUCUUGUGACUAUGUCCAAGUGGGCAGUGUGGGGAGUUGUCUUCAGAAGUUCCCCCACCAUCAGAACCUAAGAUUGAUCCAGCACCGGUCAGAAAGUGCUCAGGAGAGCUCUACCAUACCUUCUAUAGAUAGGCACUAGGAACUGGAUUUGGUGGGAAUGAAGAGACAAGAUCUCACUAUGUAACCUGACCUGGCUUUGACUGCCUGGAGUUCAUCUUGGCUCACCCUCCUGAGUUCUGGAAUUAUAGCUGGCAGUUGUGUCUCAUGUCUGUAAACCUCCCCGUCUGAAGUUGUGACUGAACUACCACAGACUUGAGGCCAGCCUGGGAUAGAGGAAGACAACUAACCCGGUUGUGACUGAACUACCACAGACUUGAGGCCAGCCUGGGAUAGAGGAAGACAACUAACCCGCCAACAUUUCAUCUUUCACUUGGUAACAGGGACACUUACGCAUAAAUCAGGAACAAGUUCGGAAUGUGAACUUACUGAAUUUUCAACUGUACAUUUUUAUGGAAUCGAAAUGCAAAUUAAAUCCUCCGAUGAAAAUUUAGUGACCCUGAGACUAGAUUCGAAGACUUACUACAAAAAUAAAAAUAUCUCGCUAAAUAUUAAUUACAUGUUGACCUAAUAGAUUUCAGAUGUUUGGUUAAAAUAAAUAGCACAUUAUUUACGUUGCU